CCACCCCACUCAAGUAUCCUUUUGUGACACUUGGAUUGCUUUGGAGAGGUGCCUCUUGAUAAGAGUCGCCCUCCAGAAAUUUAUAGGCAGUAUGGUUUGCACCUGAACCAGACGUAAUAAUAAUAAAAUCGUUUGUUUGGGUAUAAUUGUGCUUGCCUUAACCCACCCAUUUUUACCUU
rnacentral:misc_RNA from 1 species